UCCCUGGUGGCUCAGAUGGUAAAGAAUCUGCCUGCAAUGCAGGAGACCCAGGUUCAAUCCCUGGGUUGGGAC
rnacentral:tRNA from 1 species